rnacentral:rRNA from 1 species
AUUGAACGCUGGCGGCAUGCCUUACACAUGCAAGUCGAACGGCAGCACGGGAGCAAUCCUGGUGGCGAGUGGCGAACGGGUGAGUAAUACAUCGGAACGUGCCCAGUAGUGGGGGAUAGCCCGGCGAAAGCCGGAUUAAUACCGCAUACGACCUGAGGGUGAAAGCGGGGGAUCGCAAGACCUCGCGCUAUUGGAGCGGCCGAUGUCGGAUUAGCUAGUUGGUGGGGUAAAGGCUCACCAAGGCAACGAUCCGUAGCUGGUCUGAGAGGACGACCAGCCACACUGGGACUGAGACACGGCCCAGACUCCUACGGGAGGCAGCAGUGGGGAAUUUUGGACAAUGGGCGCAAGCCUGAUCCAGCCAUGCCGCGUGCGGGAAGAAGGCCUUCGGGUUGUAAACCGCUUUUGUCAGGGAAGAAACGCUCUGGGCUAAUACCCCGGGGUAAUGACGGUACUUGAAGAAUAAGCACCGGCUAACUACGUGCCAGCCGCCGCAGUAACAC